rnacentral:rRNA from 1 species
GGCGAACGCUGGCGGCGUGCCUAAUACAUGCAAGUUGAGCGCUGAAGGUUGGUACUUGUACCAACUGGAUGAGCAUCGAACGGGUGAGUAACGCGUGGGGAAUCUGCCUUUGAGCGGGGGACAACAUUUGGAAACGAAUGCUAAUACCGCAUAAAAACUUUAAACACAAGUUUUAAGUUUGAAAGAUGCAAUUGCAUCACUCAAAGAUGAUCCCGCGUUGUAUUAGCUAGUUGGUGAGGUAAAGGCUCACCAAGGCGAUGAUACAUAGCCGACCUGAGAGGGUGAUCGGCCACAUUGGGACUGAGACACGGCCCAAACUCCUACGGGAGGCAGCAGUAGGGAAUCUUCGGCAAUGGACGAAAGUCUGACCGAGCAACGCCGCGUGAGUGAAGAAGGUUUUCGGAUCGUAAAACUCUGUUGGUAGAGAAGAACGUUGGUGAGAGUGGAAAGCUCAUCAAGUGACGGUAAAUACCCAGAAAGGGACGGCUAACUACGUG